CACGGAGUCGAGAGCGGACAUCAUUAAAUGUAAUGAACAUAAAUGCUGAAUUAUGUUGGUAGCGAUUGAGGGUGUUAUACCCAGUUCGUCAUAGGGGCCCAAACACGCUGCGUGGCGUGCCCACAGACACUUCGCACCCUUUAUGGCUGAACCCAUGGAAUAACGAACCAAAUGAUGAACUCCUUAACCGAACCCAUCCCUAUUUGAACCAACACAAUCGAACCAGUGGGGGUGAACCGAUAUAUAGAUCCCAGGCGAAAGCAACGAAAUUAAUAAAGAGGUUGAUUGACAGAAGAUCUCCUAAAUCAACUCUAGUGACACAAUUGAUUUGACUGCUCCCUGACACCGCCUCCACCGCCAGCCUAGUUGGUUGAAUCUAUGGCCGCAAGCUAUAAAUUCUGAAAGGGAAGCUGAUGUUACCAUUCGAGUCUUGUGAUUGAUUUAUUCCCAUGAUGUGAGGUUGUGUCUACAUGGAUGAGGCCACGUGUCUCUUCAUCUGACGAUCUUCAUGCACUAUUCCCACUAUAAAAGCUCACACUUAGUGCCAAUGAGAGGUAAUGCAAGUUUAGACUUUGAUACUAUAAUUUUGCUCUCUACAUUUUAUUGACUUCCAAAUUCGACCUCCUUUAUUUGAUAUUGGAGGCUCAUGUUAUAAGCUCUCCCACACUCACAUACAUCUUCCCUAACUGACUUGACCAUCGGAGUACGCGCGACCGACUCCACCCCUAUCGGAGAAGGUCACGUGUGUCUAACGAUUUGUCCUAGUGUGCAGGAAAAUGGCUUGUUAAAAUGUGAAAAGGUCUUGGGAUUUGUUGGCCACCUGGAAGUACACCUUUUGAGGUCAACAGAUUGACGUCGUUUAUGAAAAAUCACACAUUCUAACCAUGAACAUCCCAGUGAAGCCAGUUUGAAACGUGUUUUUUCUCCAGCUAGAUCUUGAAGAAAGACCAGUUUCUUGAAAAAGAACGACAGAGAGAAAUGGAACAUCCAAAGCAACACAUUUGAAAUUAUCACCCAAAGUUCAGUCAACGACACCCCAUGAUUCUAGUCAUUACGGCUCCCACAGUAGGGGACACUGACGGAAAGCCUCUGAAGAAGAAGUUCUUCAUACUAACGUCACAACCCGGCGACCUCACCACCAAUACAGACGAGGUGAGACCACAGCGCGUCUAACGAGAAAAGUGCAAGAGGUGGCAACUAACAUGAGGGACAUUGCCCAACAAAAUGCUACAAUGCAGCACUUGCUUAUGCAGAUGCACGGACAAUCGGGAUACCGGGUUCCUCACCAAGAACCUCUCUAUCAGGAAGCUCAUGCGGGGACCCACGCCUAGGAACACAUGAGAGAACAAAACCCAAGUGAGAGAAAGAUAGGCAUGGAUAUGACCUCCAGUUACAUUCCGAUUGGAACCUCGGGUAACUUGCCACAAGAAGAAAACUUCCCUCCCGAGUAUGCCCAAGAUUAGGGAACACAUAGAUCGGCCAGUGUCUUUGAUCAAAUCGGUCCGACGAGGACUAAAAUUAGGCCACAACAAUCAUGACCCACCCAAAGGCAGUCGGAGUACGCCCAAGGGCUCGAACCCCAGGAGGUCAGACCACCUAGAAAUAGGCGGGAAAGAAGGGAUGCUGAAAACUUACAAAAUCAGGCUGAGACGUCCCACCUACCUCGGUAUCAAUUGAAGAAGGGUGAAUCGGAUGGCCCCUACAGAUCUUUCGAGCUGGUUGAUGAUGAUGAUAGCCUCCAUUUUUCACGAGAAUUGAGGAAUGCCGAAAUGCGAAGCCACUUUGUUCCCCCAAAGAUACCCAAAUAUGAAAGAAAGGAGGAUCUGGCGAAAUACCUAAACAACUACAUAACCCAGUUGUCUCUCAGAGGAGCCUCCCCAGAGCUGAAAUGCAGAGCUUUCCACUUGACCCUAACAGGAGCGGCUGAAAUUUGGUAUAGUCACCUCCCGACUGGCAGCAUUAGAAGUUGGCCUGACCUCAAGAAAACGUUCUUAAACCAAUACUUGGCAAGCAAAGAAGGCAAAGCCCCUAUCCAAAGGCUCCAGGACAAGCUCAUAUACUGCAAAUUACUUAGUUCAGGUUGUCUAUAGCGAGCCCAUAGUUUUCUCCAAGUUAAGUUUAUAUAACAAGCUCAUAUACUACAAAUUCUUAGUUCAGUUCAUCUAUGGUGAGCCCAUAGUCUUCUCCAAGUUAAGUUUAUAUGAUAUAACUCAAAUAUUGCGAACCAGUUAAGUAAUUUGUCUAUGGCGAGCCCAUAAUUUUCUCCAAGUUAAGUUUAUAUGACCAGCUCAUAUACUGCAAACUACUUAGUUCAGUUUGUCUAUGACGAGCCCAUAGUCUUCUUCAAGUUAAGUUUAUAUUAUAUAAAUCAUAUACUGCGAGCUGGUUAAGUAAUUUCUCUAUGACAAGCCCAUAGUUUUCUCCAAGUUAAGUUUAUAUGACAAGCUCAUAUACUGCAAAUUACUUAGUUCAGUUCGUCAAUGGCGAGCCCAUAGUCUUCUCCAAGUUAAGUUUAUAUGAUAUAACUCAUAUACUGCGAACCAGUUAAGUAAUUUGUCUAUGGCAAGCCCAUAGUUUUCUCCAAGUUAAGUUUAUAUAACAAGCUCAUAUACUGCAAAUUACUUAAUUCAGUUCAUCUAUGGCGAGCCCAUAGUCUUCUCCAAGUUAAGUUUAUAUGAUAAGUUCAUAUACUGCAAAUUGCUUAGUUUAGUUCUCUAAGUAAACAUUUAUAUGAUACAUUUGAACAUACAACAAAUUACUCAAGUCACAUCACAAAUUUGGAAAAUUAUAAACGGUGAAGCGAAACGAGUGCGGAGCGAAUAAAACUUUCACAAAAAUCAGGGCUACAUACAUUCACCUUCGGCCAUAUAAAGAUUACAAAAGUAAAGUCCUAAUCUACGUCCUCUCCACCAGUUGUUUCCUCAUCGACAAUGUUGGAAGGUUCAGCCAGAAUGAACUCGUCCCUGAUAGAGGUUAAAUCCAACUCGAGAUGAAGCUCCGCAAGCCUCUUAAAAACCUCGUUGUAGGCGACCCCCUCCAAUACAUCCCCAGGUCAUUAUACUCAGCUAUUUCAUGAAAGUAGACGAUGUAUUGUUCGACAGCCGCAGCACCUGCUCCUUCAAGUUGCUGCCUCAAACCUGCCGCUUUGGAAGCGAUCCCCUCAACUUGGGCCUUCAACUAUGCUCUCUUCUUAUUGGCCUCUUCUAGGGCAGAUGAGGCAAUCUUUUGCAGAUUAUCAGAAUUUUUAGCUUGCUUCGUUAAUGGGUUCACCUCGGACUGGUAGAGGUGGACUUCUGCAGUUAAGUCCGAUUAGCUUAAGUCAGUUGCUCUACUACCGAGUCUAGUUCAGCAUGCUUCGAUUUUGAAGCCUCAAAGGAAAUUCGGCUAAGUACAAUAGGCUCGUCUCGUCAUAGGUAUCGCCUCUUCUCAUCAAUUCAAGCCCGAAUUUGACUAAGCACAAUAGGCUCACCGCGUCAUAGGCAUCGCCUCUUCUCGUCAAUUCAUGCCCAAAUUUGGCUAAGUACAAUAGGCUCGCCCCAUCAUAGGCAUCGCCUCUCUCAUCGAUUCAAAGUCGAAUUUGACUAAGUAAAAUAGGCUCGUCUUGUCAAGCAUCGCCUCUUCUACUCAGUUCAAACCCAAAUUUGACUAAGUGAAAAUCUCCUAACUUCAACUUUGAUUUCUACAUACGUUUCGCUAAAUUGCAGCCAUAACACGAGUAAAACAAAAAUAACAAAUUUUAUUCCAUAUAUUGACAAUUGAGAUCAAUACAUUGUUUUAAUUACAAAGGACAGUUACAAUACAAAGACACUACAGGAUACAACUACGUAGCAAGUGAACCACUGGAGCUCUCCCUUUUUGGCUGCACGCUCUAUAUGUCGACCUUCGGUACUAUGUACACCCUCAGGACUAUGUUGAAACUCAAAAUUGCAGCUACAAUACACUCUGCCUUGUAAAGGUCCGGCAAAAUGACUGCGUAGCUGCUCAGGGGAAGCUCACCCUAUGGAUCCACAUAGUGCCACUAAGGGCUUCUUGGAUGUCAUCGCACACUAUUGCAACAUAGCAUGAUGAUCCACUAGAGAGCCCAAGGCAUUCUGUUGCCCCCAGGGCCUUCAAAGAAGAUUGUAGUAAAACUAUAUCACGAUUCCCAUGGAUCUAAAAAAAUCGCAUAAUAUGCCCACAAUUCCUGUCGUUUAUACACUCCAUAAUAUCUACCAAAACCGAGCAAUCUAUUACACCAACCCCAAUUUCGUUAUCAACCAAUGACAAGUACUCUAAUUGAAUGCAACAUAUACACAAAAUCAUGCGAAUCAUGCCACACAAUGAGCAUGCAAAGCAAAAGCCCCUUUUAAAGGCAAUGGUGACCAUUCUCAACCAUUCGAUUGCAAAGAUCCUGGCUAUUCAUAUGGCGACGAGAUCGGGAUCAUCGAAUAUACCUGACGUUUCAGUUCUUACUGCCACAAUCGAAACACGUGUCCAGCAACUUACGUUGGAAAUGAUGGUCACCACCUUGGGAAAACCAAGCGACAUCACAGAGUCAACAAUAAUUAAUGCCCACGACGUUCAAGCUACCAGGGACGUCACUUCGUCUUCAAAUCAGUUCCUCCUAUGUUUAAUACCAAAGGACUGCUUCUUCCAAUGGUCGUCCCUACCAAGGGCUACGUUUGUCUCUUGCUUCCUCCCAACCUCUCAAGUCCACGCAUUAUAUAAAUACCUAUACAUGGACUUCGGAGACUAUUGUUAUACCUAAUUCAUUUUUUUGCUUCCUCUCAACCUCUCAAGUCCACGCAUUAUAUAAAUACCCAUACAUGGACUUCGAGAACUAUUGUUAUACCCAGUUCGUCACAGAGGCCCAAACAUGCCACAUGGCGGGCGGAACACACCACAUUGUGGGCGAGACCAUAGGCACUUCGCAACCUUCACGGUCGAACCCAUGGAAUAACGAACCAAAUGAUGAACUCCUUAACCGAACCCACCCCUAUUUGAACCAACACAACCGAACCAGUGGGGGUGAAUCGACCUACAGGAACCCAGGCAAAAGCAACGAAAUUAAUAAAGAGGUUGAUUGAUAGAAGACCUCCUAAAUCAGCUCUAGUAACACGACUGAUUUAACUGCUCCGUGACACCGCCGUCAUCGCCAACCUAGUUGGUUGAAUCUAUGGCCGCAAGCUAUAAAUUCUGAAAGGGAAACUGAUGUUACCAUUCAAGUCUUAUGAUUAUUCCCAUGAGGAGGUUGUACCCACAUGGAUGAGGCCACGUGUUUCCUCAUAUGACAGUCUUCACGCACUAUUUCCUACUAUAUAAGCUCACACUUAGUGUCAAUGAGAGGUAAUGCUAGUUUAGACUUUGAUACUAUAAUUUUGCUUUCUACAUUUUAUUGACUUCCGAAUCUGACCCCCUUUAUUUUAUAUUGGAGGCUCACAUUAUAAGCUCUCCCACACUUACAUACAUCUUCUCCAAUUGACUUAAUCGUCGUAGUAUGCUCGGUCGGCUCCACCCCUACCAGAGAAGGCCACGUGUGUCUAACAGUUUGUCCUAGUGUGCAGGAAAAUGGCUUGUUAAGACGUGAGAAGGUCUCAGGAUCUGUUGGCCACCUAGAGCUUAAAGCCAACCAUCUUCAAAAUUGGUAUCUUCAAAAUCACUUUCCGUAGUAGAGAAUUGCCGAGGACAACACGGAGACGAGAGCGAACAUCAUUAAAUCUCAAAGCCAACCAUCUUCAAAAUUGGAAUCUUCAAAAUCACUUUCAGUUGGAAUUGCUAAGGAAAACACUGAGACGAGAGCGGACAUCAUUAAAUGUAAUGAACAUAAAUGCUGAGUUAUGUUGGUAGCGAUUGAGGGUUCAUUACUUCUACUAUAUUCAAUUGGAUAUUUUACAAUAUCUUGAUGCUUGAUCCCUGUUUGUUAUAGUUCAAAACCAACAAUUAAUAUUUGGUAUCUUCAAAAUCACUGCCGGUAGGGAAUUGUCGAGGAAAACAUGGAGACAAGAGCAGACAUCAUUAGAUGUAAUGAACAUAAAUGUUGAAUUAUGUUG